AACGAACGCUGGCGGCAGGCCUAACACAUGCAAGUCGAACGCUCCGCAAGGGGAGUGGCAGACGGGUGAGUAACACGUGGGAACCUACCUCGAGGUGCGGAACAACCAAGGGAAACUUUGGCUAAUACCGCAUGUGCCCUUAGGGGAAGAUUUAUCGCCUUGGGAUGGGCCCGCGUCGGAUUAGCUAGUUGGUGUGGUAAUGGCGCACCAAGGCGACGAUCCGUAGCUGGUCUGAGAGGAUGAUCAGCCACACUGGGACUGAGACACGGCCCAGACUCCUACGGGAGGCAGCAGUGGGGAAUAUUGGACAAUGGGCGCAAGCCUGAUCCAGCCAUGCCGCGUGUGUGAUGAAGGCCUUAGGGUUGUAAAGGCACUUUCGCCGAUGAAGAUAAUGACUGUAGUCGGAGAAGAAGCCCCGGCUAACUUCGUGCCAGCAGCCGCGGUAAU
rnacentral:rRNA from 1 species